rnacentral:rRNA from 1 species
GAUGAACGCUGGCGGCGUGCCUAAUACAUGCAAGUCGAGCGAACAGAUAAGGAGCUUGCUCCUUUGACGUUAGCGGCGGACGGGUGAGUAACACGUGGAUAACCUACCUAUAAGACUGGGAUAACUUCGGGAAACCGGAGCUAAUACCGGAUAACAUAUUGAACCGCAUGGUUCAAUAGUGAAAGGCGGCUUUGCUGUCACUUAUAGAUGGAUCCGCGCCGUAUUAGCUAGUUGGUAAGGUAACGGCUUACCAAGGCAACGAUAUGUAGCCGACCUGAGAGGGUGAUCGGCCACACUGGAACUGAGACACGGUCCAGACUCCUACGGGAGGCAGCAGUAGGGAAUCUUCCGCAAUGGGCGAAAGCCUGACGGAGCAACGCCGCGUGAGUGAUGAAGGUCUUCGGAUCGUAAAACUCUGUUAUCAGGGAAGAACAAAUGUGUAAGUAACUGUGCACAUCUUGACGGUACCUGAUCAGAAAGCCACGGCUAACUACGUG